rnacentral:lncRNA from 10 species
UUCAUAAAAUGGCAAUAAUAGUCGACUGUCUCGACAUUCUUACUUUCCACUCUCUCUUUACCCCCCCAGGCUUUUGUGCCCUACACACCAAAGGUGAUCGCCUUUCGCGAGUCACCAGUGACUUCCAUGUUGCUGAUGCCUUUUAUUACUUCUCUGCCCUGAUUUUUUCUCCACCUCUCAGUGGCUUUCAAUGCAGUUUAUCAUCCCCAUCCUUAAAACACUUUCUUCUCUUGCUAAGCACUCCAUAGUUCCUCUCUCCCUUCCGCUCCACCCCUUCUCCUAUUUUAAUAGCCACUCCCAAGGCUACAGUCCAGCCUCCCCAGCUCUUCUCUCUUCUCCAGAUGUGUUGUUCCAUAGAUGGAUAGCAUAGAGUCUAUCCAUUACCACGCUGUAAAUUCUGUCAAGGAACCGAUGACUCCCACAGCUCUAUCUUCUGCCCUGUCCUUCCUCCCUCUCCGUCAAUUCAUACCAGUUGCUUACUCAUGUAAGCAUGUAUACAACAUGUAUCCAAAAGGCAUCUCAGACCAACAUACACAAAAUUGAAAAUUUCAUUCAUUGCAUGUUCACCUUUAAUCUGCUCAUCCUGUAUUUUCCGUUUCAGUAAAUGACACCACCAUCCACCAAUUUGCUCAAGAUUCUUAUUGGAGACAAAGUGAUAAAUGAGGAUUUGGCGGAGUUAGAACCAAAGAGAAAGAUGCUAUUAAAGAAGGGGUGGUACGAAAGAAACCACCAUCAGAGCGAACAGGCAACCUACAGAAUGGGAGAAAAUUUUUGCAAUCUACUCAUCGGACAAAGGGCUAAUAUCCAGAAUCUACAAUGAACUCAAACAAAUUUACAAGAAAAAAACAACCCCAUCAACAAGUGGGCAAAGGAUGUGAACAGACACUUCUCAAAAGAAGACAUUUAUGCAGCCAAAAGACACAUGAAAAAAUGCUCAUCAUCGCUGACCAUCAGAGAAAUGCAAAUCAAAACCACA